CGGUAGGUUCAUAUCAAGUAGGAUACACCCGUUCCCAUCUGAACACGGAAGUAAAGAUGCUUAGAGCCUGUUUAGUACCA
rnacentral:rRNA from 1 species